rnacentral:rRNA from 1 species
AGAGUUUGAUCCUGGCUCAGGACGAACGCUGGCGGCAUGCCUAACACAUGCAAGUCGAACGGAGUUUGUUAUUAGAAGUUCUUCGGAAUGGAAGAUAAUAAACUUAGUGGCGGACGGGUGAGUAACGCGUGGAUAACCUGCCUUUUUGUGGGGAACAACUUCGAGAAAUCGGAGCUAAUACCGCAUGAGCUUAUAAAGCCGCAUGGCAUUAUAAGGAAAGAUGGCCUCUGAACAUGCUAUCGCAAAAAGAUGGAUCCGCGUCUGAUUAGCUAGUUGGUAAGGUAGCGGCUUACCAAGGCGACGAUCAGUAGCCGGCCUGAGAGGGUGAACGGCCACAUUGGGACUGAGACACGGCCCAAACUCCUACGGGAGGCAGCAGUGGGGAAUCUUCCGCAAUGGGCGAAAGCCUGACGGAGCAAUGCCGCGUGAGUGAAGAAGGCCUUCGGGUUGUAAAACUCUGUCCUUAUUGAAGAGAGGUAUUGGUGUGAAUAAUGCUGAUAUAGGACGGUAAAUAAGGAGGAAGCCCCGGCUAACUACGUGCCAGCAGCCGCGGUAAUACGUAGGGGGCGAGCGUUGUCCGGAAUCACUGGGCGUAAAGGGCGCGUAGGCGGUAUAAUAAGUCAGUGGUGAAAACCUGGGGCUCAACCCCGGGCCUGCCACUGAUACUGUUAAACUUGAGUAUGGAAGAGGAGAAUGGAAUUCCUAGUGUAGCGGUGAAAUGCGUAGAUAUUAGGAGGAACACCAGUGGCGAAGGCGAUUCUCUGGGCCAAGACUGACGCUGAGGCGCGAAAGCGUGGGGAGCAAACAGGAUUAGAUACCCUGGUAGUCCACGCCGUAAACGAUGGGUACUAGGUGUUAGGGGUUUCGAUGCCUCUAGUGCCGCAGUAAACACAAUAAGUACCCCGCCUGGGGAGUACGGUCGCAAGACUGAAACUCAAAGGAAUUGACG